rnacentral:ncRNA from 1 species
AGAGUAAAAGCAUAGGCGUUGGACGCUGUUCCUUUAGUGCCGACCGAACGGGGAGUUGUCGGGCGGACGAAAAGAGCAAGGGAAGCCUUCCCUGCUUCUUGCGAUCUGUGCUUUGCAUCCCGCU